UUCAGUGAAAAAAUUUCACGUUCCAUAACAUUUAAUAACAUAUAUAAUAACAUAUACAAGGAAAAUUUCCUAGUAAAUUUGGAGGACUUUACGGUUUGUAUUGUAACGCGACCGUUCGUUCUCACGCUCAGUCUCGUCGUGACUCUCGAUUAGUACGCGUCUUUUUGUUUAAUCGCUCGAGAAUCUGGAACGUGAUUUAACGGUCGUGUGCAUUCGCGAGUUUGAUGUGGGUGGUUGCGAAUAUAUUUUAGACGUAGAUUAAUAUCGUAUGCUAAUGUUGAUUUUACGUUGUCUGUUGGCAUAUACGCGUGGGUUCCUAAUGUUUUUCUACAUGCAUCUACGUAUGUCCAGUGAUGAUCAAGAUUAGUCACCAGUGCGUGACCUCGUGUGUAUGUUAAGAACGAAUUAUAGUACGUGUUUAACUAUGAAUUAUUGCGUAUUUCGUAAUUCGCAUUUAUUAUAUCGUAUGAUUUCGCGUGUGAUUGCAUAUAUUACUGCAAGGCGAAAAUUACGUCGCGAAAUUACGCAUAUUCGUUCGUAGAAGAUGUCGGCCAUAUUUGAGAUUCUGCGCCUGCGAUUCUGCGCAUAUCUUUUCGGACAUUAAAGUUUUGUACGGUAGCCUCUCGACGUAUAUUUAUUGCUGUAGAUAGACGAAACGCGAAACUCUUGGUUUCGCUGCUAUUGUCACUUACCACGCUGCCAAAUGGGCGUGCUGGCCGGAUUGCUGUCCACCUCGCAUUUCAAGCUGACGGACAUCC